CAGCCGCCGCGGGAAUACGAAGGGUGCAAGCGUUAAUCGGAAUUACUGGGCGUAAAGCGUGCGUAGGCGGUGAGUUAAGUCUGCUGUGAAAUCCCCGGGCUCAACCUGGGAAUGGCAGUGGAUACUGGCUCGCUAGAGUGUGUCAGAGGAUGGUGGAAUUCCCGGUGUAGCGGUGAAAUGCGUAGAGAUCGGGAGGAACAUCAGUGGCGAAGGCGGCCAUCUGGGACAACACUGACGCUGAGGCACGAAAGCGUGGGGAGCAAACAGGAUUAGAUACCCGAGUAGUCCCUGUCUCUUAUAU
rnacentral:rRNA from 1 species